AGUAACGCGUGAGGAACCUGCCUCAAAGAGGGGGACAACAGUUGGAAACGACUGCUAAUACCGCAUAAGCCCACAGCUCGGCAUCGAGCAGAGGGAAAAGGAGCAAUCCGCUUUGAGAUGGUCUCGCGUCCGAUUAGCUAGUUGGUGAGGUAAUGGCCCACCAAGGCGACGAUCGGUAGCCGGACUGAGAGGUUGAACGGCCACAUUGGGACUGAGACACGGCCCAG
rnacentral:rRNA from 1 species